GCCAGAUUCAUUGCGUUCGCAUCCCAUGCCUGCUAGUUACAAAUGCCGGCUACCAGAUUGUGUAAUUCUGUCCCAUCUACUGCUUUCAUCGGGGGCUCAGAGCAGGAUCACGGCUCACUCUUACAAUUUAGAACUACCUGGAAUGGAAUUGCUUAGGAAAGAGGGAAAAGGCAUUUUUAGUCAAAAGCGAAGGAGGACAAAGUUAAACUCCACCAACAAUGGAAACUUCUUCCGGAUUCUUCCGGAGGCUGCCUGGUGCACUGGAGUGUGAUGCUUCCAGACUGCAGGAUUGCCCUCUUUACUGUCAGGUGGCUGUACAGCUGUGGAUUUUUGAGGACCGCACGAGGCUGCUGUGAGUUAAUAAUCCCAGACAAUCGCAGGCUCUCUUUUCCUCCAGGGGUGUGGCCCUUCGUUUACAGAAAGGAAGGCUGAAUCACAGAAUGGAAAAUGGUGACACACAGCCCAUCUCCAGCAGAGCGGGAAAACCUUGAGACGGCAUUGUCUUAAAGGUAGACUUUGAUCCCAAACUUGAGUCCUUUUCCAUUGCGACGCUAACUCGAAGGACAGGAUCUCCAGGUCUCUGUGGAUGAUCUCCCUGUCUCUGCUUGAGAGAAAACAGUUUGGGUGGUGUUUAUGCAUCGGUCUACAAAAUGAGAUUCUGAAAAUCUUUCUCCAUAAAGUGAAUUGUCUUUACCCCUGACGCUUCUCCUGAGACCUCUUAUUCGGUUAAAGCAACCCACCAGUUUGCCUGAAAGCUGUUUACACCGGGAAGUGUUAAGGGUAAGCCGGCCACACGCUUGUAUGAUAGCCCUUCCUGCCAAGUGCCCAGCCCAUGUUGGGAGGGCUUGCAUUGCCUGUUAGCAAGAGGACCUGUGUCUGGAAAUGGUAGCUUUCUCUCGAUCGGCAUGAAAGGCCUGCUUGGCUCUUUUCAAGUUGCUCAAAUUCCUAGUAGGGCUCUGGUCCUGAUUUCUUCCACCUGCUUUUCAAAAUUGCAGGUGACUUCUCUCCCGGGUGCCUUGGUUGGUUACGUCUGCCGUAGGACAUCCAUCGUGCCUGAAUCAAGCUGCUUCACUCUGCUUCCCGGGCCAUUUCCUUGCAACUUGCUUGCAUGCUAAUUUCUAGGGGAACACUUUUUUUUUUUUUUAAUGCGUGUGUGUGACUCAGGACUCAGGCUCAGUGCAGCACUUAGGUGUGCGUGAGGGAAUGCUAAAACGUUCUGGCCAGAGGAGAACAGCAUGGCCACGAAGAAGCUGAGAUCGUAUGCUGGGCUCAGAUCGUGGUGUGUGUGUGUGUGUGUGUGUGUGUGUGUGUGUGUGUUGGAUGGCUACAAAUUUAUUUGGGGACUUGUGGAAAAAGGUAUUAAAACAAACAGCCUCACAAGGAAUUACUGCUGUGCAGGGCAGUGUUACAUAGAUUGGUGAAUCUUUAUGCAUUUUGACAUGUGUCAGUCUUGCUGGCUUUGGCUGUGACCUACAUUAGGCACUGACUCAGGGUUCUUCAGUGAGAUGCAUUAACCUACCAGGUCAGAAGGCAUGAGGGCUGAGAUGGGCCAGCAAGCGGUGACCCACGGGCCGAAUCGCAUUUCCGUCCAGUUUAGUAACUUAAUGGUCACGUGGGGGCUGCAUAUUUGAGCAGGAUUUUGCCAGGCAGGUUGGGGAGGAAGAACACCCUCGCAUGGGUUGGCAGACUACAGUCUGAGGGCCAAAUGAGGCAUACCGCCUGUGUUUGUAAAUAAAGUUUUAUGUGAACACAGACCCCUUUGUUAAAGUAUUGCCUACGAUUGCUUUCGCUCUGCAAAGGCAGAGACCGUAUGGUCCCCCAAGCCUAAAAUAUUUGCUGUCUGGCCCUUUGCAGGAAAAACUGACCCUGCCCACCGCUAGGGUUGGGAUUAAGCACUGAAGCUGUGAAUCAACAGCUUGCCUUCUCGUCUCAAGGUUACUUGUUUCGGUGUAACCUUGGUUACAUACCUAUAAAAGGGAAAUAUGAAUAUUCCUGGGUUGCUGUGAGAAGUAAAUUCAAUAAUGAUCAUGAUUCAUUUUAAUGAAAGACUUCCAGAGUUCUUCCCAUAUUCUUGAUGCCCUGGAUUAUAAUCAUGCUGGAUCUUUUCUGUCGUUAUAAAAUUUAAACGUCAAAAAUAUUUGAGGAAUUUGGGCUGCCACCCUUCUCGUUCCAGGAAUAAAAGAUCCCGAAAUGCUUGCAGCGUAUUUUCGGGGUAUUUGAUGUUGACGAGUGGAGCCCGUGGCAGCUUAGGAAGUGUCCAUUGGUAUGUCUUUGGUCUAGUUGGGAUCUCGUUUCGGUUAGAGACUAAACCAUUAAGGUAUACAGGUGAAAUUUCUAGGACACAAACAAACUGGUAACAGGGGAUCAAGGUUCACAGUGGUCUCCGUAGAGUCAAAUAAAGGAUUUGGAGGAAACAAGAGAAUAUUUACCAGGGAUUGAUGUGGAUUCUGGCAUCAAUUAUUUAAGUCUGGGAAUUGGGAGACUUGGCCAGACAGCAGUUCCUGGGAAGUAGAUCUGGGGCUUCUAGCUGGCCACAAACUCAAUUUGAGCCAGAUGUAUACAGCUGACAAGGAAACAGUCUUAGCCUGCAUUAACGGAGUCGGUAUACGCCUUGUGGGUUCAAGGAAGGGAAAGCAAGAAAACAACUGAAAUGACCUAGACAGCCCACAUUUGAAGAAGCAACAUUAGUUAUGGAGACAAAUCACACGUUUGAGUGGAGAUGUUGCCGAAGUUGUGUAGGCUGAGGGGGAGCUGGGGGCAUAGUCAGGUUGUUGAGUAAUCUGGGAACUGUCAUACUGAGGAAAUGCCUGAAGGUUCUACGGAUGGUUCCCAGGAAAGGAGAUGACCACAAGGGAAGAAAGAGCUUUUCAAAAGCUCUGAAGCUGCUUUGCUAUCUUUAUUGGGUUUUUGGGGGGAGGGUGUGUGUGGGGGAACCUUAGGGAGAUAAAUGGGAGGUACUCCAUUUUGAGGGCAUCAGCUCAGCUCACACUUUCUCCACCCCUCCCCCUCGCACCCAAGCCCACAGUUGCAAGUGGGAAGUCCCUGGCAGCCAUGUUUGGUCAUCACAAUCCUGCCUUCCUGCUGACAGCUGAUCGGACAAGGGAGGGAGGCCUGCUGGAAGCCAGAGGAUGCGGACAAUAGACCGUACGGAAUUGCAGUGAGGACGAGACGGCCUCGUGUAGAGUUUCCUCUUGCUGCUGUAAGAAACGGCCAGGAAAUUAGUGACUUAAGACAGAAAAAAUGUAUUCUUUUAUGAUUCCGGAAGUCGGAGACCCCCAAGGGGCCUUACUGGGCCAAGGCCAAGGUGUUGGCAGAGCUGUGUCCCUCAGGAGGCUCUAGAGGAGAACCCACUCCCUUGGCUUUUCCUGCUUCUAGAGACCAAGUGCAUUCCUUGACUGGUAGCCCCUUCCUCUGUCUGCAUGCCCCCGCCCCCCGCUGCAACCCCUCCCGUCUCACACUCCUCUGGCACUGACCUCCGGCCUCCCUCUUUCACUCGCAAGGACCCUUCUUCUGUCUGCAUGCCCCCGCCCCCCGCUGCAACCCCUCCCGUCUCACACUCCUCUGGCACUGACCUCCGGCCUCCCUCUUUCACUCGCAAGGACCCUGUGGUUACAGUGGACCCAUCUGGAUCAUCAAAGAUAAUCUCCCCAUUUAAAAAUCCUCAACUUGGGGCGCCUGGGUGGCUCAGUCGGUUAGGCGUUUGACUCUCGAUUUCGGCUCAGGUCACGAUCUCACAGUUCGUGAGUUCA